UUGACUCACGCAGGAAUCUUACCGGGUCCGGACACACUGAGGAUUGACAGAUACAUUGCAAAAUAUGAUAGCUCUUUCAUAAUUAUGUGAUAGGUGGUGCAUGGCCGUUCUUAGUUCGUGGAGUGAUCUGUCUGCUUAAUUGCGUUGGUAUAUAUAAUGCAUGUUAAUUGCAUUUUUACCAUGCAACGAACGUGACCGCAACCUCUUGUUGCACUAUAGCUUCUCAUGGUGCAAAACUAGAGGGACCGCUGUAUUUAUUUCUUUUAGCCAGAGGAAGGAUGCGGCAAUAACAGGUCUGUGAUGC
rnacentral:rRNA from 1 species